GAGAGUUUGAUUCUGGCUCAGAACAAACGCUGGCGGCGUGCCUAACACAUGCAAGUCGAACGUGAAAGUCCCGCAAGGGAUAAGUAAAGUGGCGAACGGGUGAGUAAUACAUAGGUAAUCUACUUAUAAGUUUGGAAUAACAAUUCGAAAGGAUUGCUAAUACCGAAUAAUAUACUUUAUCAUAUGGUAAAGUAUCAAAGGUGGCCUCUUCACAAUGCUAUCACUUAUAAAUGAGCCUAUGGACCAUUAGUUAGUUGGCAGGGUAAUAGCCUACCAAGACAAAGAUGGUUAGCUGGUCUGAGAGGAUGACCAGCCACACUGGAACUGAAACACGGUCCAGACUCCUACGGGAGGCAGCAGUGGGGAAUAUUGCGCAAUGGGGGAAACCCUGACGCAGCAACGCCGUGUGAGCGAUGAAGGCCUUCGGGUUGUAAAGC
rnacentral:rRNA from 1 species